rnacentral:lncRNA from 1 species
GACCCGUGGAAAUGAGCAGCAUCUGGCACAGGCUCUCUCCCGAAUUUCUCUCCACCCCCACCCGCGGCAGGACCCCCCCCCUCCCCGCCGGAGACUCCCCGAAAUGCCAGGUCCCCCCGGCGGGGUCACAGCCGAGAUCGCGCAAACGCUGCCGGGCAGCUGGGGGAGUCCCCCGGGCCAGCACACGUCCUUUCCCGAAGGUGACUCUGGGUGCUGUGGCAAUACUGAGCACGUGGACAGAAAUGGGGGCGUUUCCUCCCGGCCCGUGGCCGACCUCUGUGCAGACCUCCACCUUCGGCUUCCCGGCCUCGCCCACAAUGAACCCUGCCGUCAUGAGAGUCGGCUCUUUGACAUCUGUUACAAAAUGCAAACCCCGGCGGCCCGAGUCCCCAGUCUGUGGCGACCUCUGAAGCCCUGCCUUCCGGAGCCGGGCUCCUCCGUGCCCCAGGUGAGCUGCUUCUGCUGAAAACUUCCCGGCUCCGCAGCGAUCUGCUCCUGGGCAGGGAGUUCUUUUCAGAGCUGGGGCAGCUGCCUGUGUGGGACAGGAAGCCCGCCUUUGGGUGGAGACCUGGGAGAGCCACCUGGGUCAGGACUGGAGCUGCUGGCUCAGUUUCUUACUUAAGCCCUAGCAAGGAACACAAAGACGGGACCCCCCUUACUAAGUAGAAUUGACCGUUAAUGUUCCUAAUGUGCUGUUUUUCAACCCAAAUCUUCUGACCAGGAAUGAUACGACUUUCAAAAAAAGAUGCCAACAGUCAUGUUGAGUUUGAGAUGCCUACGGGACAUCCAAUUCAAAAUGUCCAAUAGGCAAGUGGUGAUGUGGGACUGAAGCUCCAGGGAGAAAAUAAUGCUGGAUGUGUAGAUCUGGGAGUCAUCUGUGUAGAGAUCAUGAAGAACCCUGUGGCCCCAGUCACAAGUCGUUUUGCCUAAAUGGGGGGAUUUGUUAUGUGAUACCCACUAUUCCCAGCCCAUUUUGUAGGAAGUGAACUGAUGCUGGCUUAUCUUUGUCUUAUUCCAAGUUGGGGCAUGAGGUUUUCCCUGCCUUAGAAGGUUGUUGAGACGUGAAACCUGGGAAGAUGUAUUGAGAAUUAUACAGGAGCCCGGUGUGAAGAGGUCUACCUUCCUAGCACCAAGACCCAAAGUGAGAGUGAGCCGUUUGCAGCUUUGUUGACCGUUGCCCUGCUCCUGGGAGUACUGACCCUUGGAGCUGUCUACUUCCUUUGCAGGAAAGGCCACCUCCAAAGGGCUAGCUCAGCCCAGUAUGACGUUGGCCUGGUAGAGACCAGCAGCAUCAACAUUUACAACAAACAUGGAGAAAACUGAAGAAGCACCAGCCAAGUGAACCAAGAUAUUACAUCCAAGCUGCAGGGGAAAUAAAGGAAGCCACAGAAGGGGUUUCAUCAAGGCAGAUCCUGAGCCAAUCUGCAAGUGCUUCAAAAACAAGAGCUGACUGCAUCUAGUCUUCUGCUUUUCUUCAAGUGUUUGUGACCACGUGUAUCCAUCUGUAAAAAUGACACUUCACUGCAACAUUUUAGCCAAGGACAUCUGGUGGACACCCAAACCCACAUAAAUUCAGUUUUAUCCUUCUGGAAGUUUUCUUCAGGUUUCCCGCCACCUUGCCCUCAGCAUCGGUCAUAACUUGCUUUCUGUACUGUAUCCCUUUUCAUUAUGCUGGAUGGCCUAAAUUCAGAUUUCUGAUCUUACUGCAAGUUCAAGCUGAGACUCAAGAGGAUUGGGAGGAAGGGAAGACUCCCAUCUAUUAAGAGUCACUUAGAGGGCUUGGUCUUUGGGGGAGGGGAGUAAUGGUAGAAAAUUCCCAUUUGCCUAAUAACUCAUUUCUCCAAUUCAUUGUUUCUAAAUAUUUUCUUUAGUGCAGCUCUUGGAAACAGGACAUACCUGUAGCCCCAUUUGACAGAGGGCUCAGUGUUGACUUGUCCAAGACCAUAUGCAGUUAAUGACAAAGCAAGGACUUAAAGCUCUUUUCUGAUUCCGAGUUCAGGGCUCUGACUGCUCCCUGAUAGGGCUUUGGAUGAUGGUGUUAUGGAGGUCCCGUCAACGAGGCUAUAGUGUAAUCAGGUCAUGAAAAACAAUUCAACCCAGUAGCCUUUGGGAAGAAAACCCUCAAGUGAAAAAGUAGCUGAAUGGAUGAGUCUUAAGUAACCAACAGCCCAACAGAACAGCCGGCACCGUGGGAGCCCGAGGCUUCACUCCUGCAAAAAGUAUUCAGUGAUGUCCUCGCUUUGCCUUCUUCACAUGCUCUAUCCAUGGGUACGAUGCCAUUUUGGCUUCUGAUUUCAAAAGCGACAUAGGCUUGGGCUAAACCUAAGCCCAAGGUUCCUGGAGACCUUCCAAACCCACCUCAUUUGACAGAUGGGGCCAAUAAAAACAGUUCAUUCGUUAUGGCCAGGUUCAAAAUGGGGCAGAAGGUGUAACUAUGACUAGUAUGAGUCACACAGAGCUGAUUCUCAAGCCCUCUGAUCUGGAGUCCAGGGCUCUUGUCACCUCCUCUGUCUUCUUUCUCUAUUUGUCUGCAAUUUCUUAACAUGUACUCUCUUGUGAUAAGUGGUGUCUUAUUUUUUAGCUGAGACCAUAGUAGUUAUUCCUUUAUUGGUGGUCUUUCUUAUCUAAACUAAUCCUAGCUUGAAACCAAAUGUUACAUAACCAUUGAACUCCAGGGACAAUAUCUCUCAGAAGCAGAUGGACAAUGAGAACAUUCUCCAGAAAGCUCAUUUUCUUUUCAACUCAGCUUCUUUAACAAUCCUUUUGGCCUUGAGACAAGAUUGUAAACAUAAGAUGUUUGAUCUCAGAUGGAAAAGAAUCCUCUGAAUAAUCCUACUGGAACAGCGGAAUGAAGAUCCCUUGGGAAAUGCCCCCAAACUCUUCAUAUGUGCUGAUUUGUAUAAAUAUAAUGACCAAUUCAAUUCUUGGCCUUAUU